AGCGAACGCUGGCGGCAGGCCUAACACAUGCAAGUCGAACGAACCUUUCGGGGUUAGUGGCGGACGGGUGAGUAACACGUGGGAACGUGACUUUAGGUUCGGCCUAACUCAGGGAAACUUGUGCUAAUACCGAAUGUGCCCUUCGGGGGAAUGAUUUAUCGCCUUUAGAGCGGCCCGCGUCUGAUUAGCUAGUUGGUUGAGGUAAUGGUUCACCAAGGCGACAUUCAGUAGUUGGUCUGAGAGGAUGGUCCGCCACAUUUGGACUGAGACACGGCCCAAACUCCUACGGGAGGCAGCAGUGGGUAAUGUUGCGCAAUGGGCGAAAGCCUGACGCAGCCAGGCCGCGUGAAUGAUGAAGGUCGUAGGAUUGUAAAAUUCUUUCACCGAGGACGGUAAUGACGGUACCCGGAGAAGAAGCCCCGGCUAACUACGUG
rnacentral:rRNA from 1 species